GAAGGGAGCUUGCUCCCGGAUGUUAGCGGCGGACGGGUGAGUAACACGUGGGUAACCUGCCUGUAAGACUGGGAUAACUCCGGGAAACCGGAGCUAAUACCGGAUAGUUCCUUGAACCGCAUGGUUCAAGGAUGAAAGACGGUUUCGGCUGUCACUUACAGAUGGACCCGCGGCGCAUUAGCUAGUUGGUGAGGUAACGGCUCACCAAGGCGACGAUGCGUAGCCGACCUGAGAGGGUGAUCGGCCACACUGGGACUGAGACACGGCCCAGACUCCUACGGGAGGCAGCAGUAGGGAAUCUUCCGCAAUGGACGAAAGUCUGACGGAGCAACGCCGCGUGAGUGAUGAAGGUUUUCGGAUCGUAAAGCUCUGUUGUUAGGGAAGAACAAGUGCAAGAGUAACUGCUUGCACCUUGACGGUACCUAACCAGAAAGCCACGGCUAACUACGUGCCAGCAGCCGCGGUAAUACGUAGGUGGCAAGCGUUGUCCGGAAUUAUUGGGCGUAAAGGGCUCGCAGGCGGUUUCUUAAGUCUGAUGUGAAAGCCCCCGGCUCAACCGGGGAGGGUCAUUGGAAACUGGGAAACUUGAGUGCAGAAGAGGAGAGUGGAAUUCCACGUGUAGCGGUGAAAUGCGUAGAGAUGUGGAGGAACACCAGUGGCGAAGGCGACUCUCUGGUCUGUAACUGACGCUGAGGAGCGAAAGCGUGGGGAGCGAACAGGAUUAGAUACCCUGGUAGUCCACGCCGUAAACGAUGAGUGCUAAGUGUUAAGGGGGUUUCCGCCCCUUAGUGCUGCAGCUAACGCAUUAAGCACUCCGCCUGGGGAGUACGGUCGCAAGACUGAAACUCAAAGGAAUUGACGGGGGCCCGCACAAGCGGUGGA
rnacentral:rRNA from 1 species